rnacentral:lncRNA from 1 species
AAGAAUAAAAUUACAAAAAAACUCAUCCCCCUUCCCCUUUCUUUCUCCUUGAUGCCACCUCCCUCUCCCCCUGCACCUUCCUUCUUCCAGUCGCUCCCUCUUGCCACCUUUCCGUUCCUCUCCUGCCGUGAUUGCUCCACAUCACCAGCCCGUCGCCACCGUCCACGUCGCCUCUUGCCAUCGAGGAAGAGCUGUUCACGAGGAGGAAGCUUCCUCUCUUGCUACUGAGCCCAAAAAGCCACAUGUCGCCGUCCUUUCGCCAAUCUGACGUUGGAAUUGAGUCCCUCGCCCUCCAAAAGCUAGGAACAGCUCCUCCCUAUCCCCAUUCCUCCAUCAGCACCCUUGGGAGAGCCUUACCGAAGUAGCAACAUUCUCACCGCGAUCUAGCGGUUUUCAGUAAAGGCUAGGCUGUGAUUUUGUUGUUUUUGGCUUCAACAUGUUUCAAGCUUUCGGAUUUGAAUUCCAAAACCGUUGGCGGUAUCGGCUUUCAGACCCUGGUGUUUUUCAAACGCGCAUAAUUUCGGAGUUUCAUCUCGGUACAAUUUUCUUGGACCCAAAUAAUUAUCUAAAAUUAUUAGAAAAUAUUGGUGCAUUAGUUGUUAGUUAUUAAUAAUUAAUAAAAUUAUUUAAUUAAUUAGUAGCUUGAUCCUAGAAAUACUAUAGAUUAAUUAUAGUAGAAAUUAUUAUUCUAUUAUGUAAAUUGGCUGUGAUUAAUUAAACUAAAUAUGAGAAAAAUAUUUAUGUGUUGGAUCGUAAAAUAAUAUUAUUUUGCCGGACUGUUAAUUAUUGUAUUUUGAUAUGGAUUGUGUUGCAGAGUUAGGAGUAAUGCAGUUUUGAUUGCCCGACUCCCGUUAAAUAAUUAUAGAAUAUUUGAAGUGUUUUUACUAGGUUCUGGACCCGUUAUACGGAAGUAAAUGUCCAUAUCUUAGGGGAGGUUCUGUCAAAUUUUCGGUAGAAUUUCCAAGUCGGGAUUGGUAUGAAUUUCUUAGGCAAUCUAAUCUAAGAGUCUAGGCCUAGAAAAAAAUUAUAAAUAUUUUCUUAAUUCAAUUAUUAUUAAUAUAGCGGAACUCGACCUGAGGCGUAGGAACAGAUAGCGGAACUCGGCAGAAUUAUGAGUUAGAAUCAUAUAUUCUACCGCAUGUGUCAUUUCUGUAUUUAAGUGAAAUUCUUAAAUAAAUAACUAUUAUGGUUAUUUUAGUAGCAUAAGUAUUAUUAAAAUUUUCUUUAUUUUCAUUACUAGUAAUAUUAUUAAUUAUUGUUAUUAUUAUUAUUAUUCUUAUUACUAUUACUAUUUGUGUCAUUAAAUUUAUUAUCAUCUCAAUUAUUAUUAUUAUUAUUAUUAUUACUAUUAUCAUUACUGUUGCUGUUGUUUAAAUAUUUUUAAUUUUAUAAAAUUGCAUUAUUUCACUAUACUGCUAUUACUACCGCGAUUAUUGAGUAUUAUGUUGCAUGCUAUAUUACUGAUGAUAAUGUUAUGUGGCUUAGGAUGAGGCAACAUUACAACAUACCACCUGAUGGGCUACCUCAGGAUUGCGUGCACACCGGUGAAAAUCAGCAUCAGGUAAUAGAGGAAUAUUCAAUGAUGUACCCUAGUCGAGCACAACUCCCUGGGCUUAUGGAAGUCUGAUUUGCCGGAGAAAAAUCUCUGGUCGAGCGUUGCUCUCUAAGCACUGGCUAUAUUAGUAUUAAGUGACCUGACUGAACUUAAGGACCAUAGUCGAGCUUUACUCUCUAGGCGCCAGUCUUAUUGGAUUAAUAGAGCCGAAAGGCUGCUAGAAUUAGAGAUUUAGAGUUCUCUUGAAGUACUCAUCCUGUGUAUGUUAAAAUCACAUAUCCUUUUUAAAUUACAAUAUGACACGCAUUUGUUAUUUUGAGAUAUUAUGUACUAUUAAAUAAUUAUUUUAUUUUUGUGGUUGCUUUAGUUCAAAGUAUAUAAUUUUAAUUCACUAUCAAGAUUGACAAUCUUAAUUUUAAAUUU